AGGCAGCAGUGGGGAAUAUUGCGCAAUGGGGGCAACCCUGACGCAGCCAUGCCGCGUGUGUGAAGAAGGCCUUCGGGUUGUAAAGCACUUUAAGUGGGGAGAAAAGGGUAGCCGUUAAUAGCGUCUACCUGUGAUGUUACCCACAGAAUAAGCACCGGCUAACUCCGUGCCAGCAGCCGCGGUAAUACGGAGGGUGCGAGCGUUAAUCGGAAUUACUGGGCGUAAAGCGCGCGUAGGCGGUUUGUUAAGUCAGCUGUGAAAGCCCCGGGCUCAACCUGGGAACUGCAGUUGAUACUGGCCGACUAGAGUACGAGAGAGGGAGGUAGAAUUCCAUGUGUAGCGGUGAAAUGCGUAGAUAUAUGGAGGAAUACCGGUGGCGAAGGCGGCCUCCUGGCUCGAUACUGACGCUGAGGUGCGAAAGCGUGGGGAUCAAACAGGAUUAGAUACCCUGGUAGUCCACGCCGUAAACGAUGUCUACUAGCCGUUGGGAGACUUGAUUUCUUAGUGGCGCAGCUAACGCAAUAAGUAGACCGCCUGGGGAGUACGGCCGCAAGGUUAAAACUCAAAUGAAUUGACGGGGGCCCGCACAAGCGGUGGAGCAUGUGGUUUAAUUCGAUGCAACGCGAAGAACCUUACCAGGUCUUGACAUCCAGAGAACUUUCCAGAGAUGGAUUGGUGCCUUCGGGAGCUCUGAGACAGGUGCUGCAUGGCUGUCGUCAGCUCGUGUCGUGAGAUGUUGGGUUAAGUCCCGCAACGAGCGCAACCC
rnacentral:rRNA from 1 species